UUCCAAUUGAUGCAUUGAAAGCUUUUAAUGGAAUUCCAAUUGAUAACCGCAAGGAAAUGUUACAUCUCAUUGUGCCCGACUUUCCUUUUUAUUAAUGGUAUUGUGGAGUCCUUAAAGAAUAGUAUUGUCAACUACAAUGGACCUAUAUUUGACUUUUUUUUUGCUUGUGACAGUUUGAUGACUUAUGGACAUAUUGAUAGUUUGAUGACAAUUGUUUUGGUAAUUAAUUAUUAUUGUCAUUCUGGUGCUAUAAAGUGAAAGAUAAUGUUUUGGUGACUUA